UACGAAGGGGGCUAGCGUUGCUCGGAAUCACUGGGCGUAAAGGGCGCGUAGGCGGAUCUUUAAGUCGGGGGUGAAAGCCCAGGGCUCAACCCUGGAAUGGCCUUCGAUACUGGAGAUCUUGAGACCGGAAGAGGUAAGUGGAACUGCGAGUGUAGAGGUGAAAUUCGUAGAUAUUCGCAAGAACACCGGUGGCGAAGGCGGCAUCCUGGGCCGGUAUUGACGCUGAGGAGCGAAAGCCAGGGGAGCAAACGGG
rnacentral:rRNA from 1 species